CAGUCGCCGCGGGAAUACAGAGGAUGCAAGCGUUAUCCGGAAUGAUUGGGCGUAAAGCGUCUGUAGGUGGCUUUUCAAGUCCGCCGUCAAAUCCCAGGGCUCAACCCUGGACAGGCGGUGGAAACUACCAAGCUGGAGUACGGUAGGGGCAGAGGAAAUUUCCGGUGUAGCGGUGAAAUGCGUAGAGAUGUGGAGGAACACCAGUGGCGAAGGCGACUCUCUGGUCUGUAACUGACGCUGAGGAGCGAAAGCGUGGGGAGCGAACAGGAUUAGAUACCCCUGUAGUCCCUGUCUCUUAUAC
rnacentral:rRNA from 1 species